AUGUUCGUCUUGAACUUCUGGAUUCAUGGACUAGGUGUGAGCCAGUGUCAAGCAGCAUCCUUGACCUUGGGGCAGUGUGCGGGAACCAUGUGGACCCAGUGUUGUCAGAUGGAACGAGGACGGGGUCGAUGCUGGGGUGAGCUGUUGCUGCCUGCUCACCUCGACUUGGGGCCUAUGCAGAUGUUAAUGCUCAUUCAGUGCUCACCACGAGGCUAUGGCUUAAGAACUGCUUCUCAUGCCUGUUUCAUAGAUGAAGAAACUGAUACACAGGGAAGAUGGUGCUGGAGGAAGGUGAGUUCAUCAGUGGGGUGGGAUGGAAGGAGAAAUGUCCUUUCACUGAGAGGACAGGGUGAGGAGAAAGGCAGAGGUCCCAAACACCUUGGGAGCGUGAGGGGGUGCAGAGCACUAGAAACCAGAUCUGCAGCUUCCUCCCAGGCAGAGGGUGUCUAGUAGGGCCGCAUGCAGCUGCACUGGAGGUUGAGGCAAAAGGAAAAGUCGGUCAUACUGACCCUGUCUUUAUUUCAAGUUUUAACAUUUUGUUCAUUUUAGAAUUCUCCUUUGAGUUUUUCUUUUUAAAAUUUGCAUUGAUUUUUUUUUUUUUAUCUUGACUACCAAAUUUAUUGGCAGCCACUGGGAUGUAUCAGACAGAAAACCUUCUUGGCCUUACUUCUGGUGCCUCCAGUUCCAGUCUGGGUCACUCCCUUGCCCCUUGGCCAGGGGAAGACAAGAACCCUGAUUUCUGCCCCAUGGAGAAGAGGCCAUGAAAACAGCCAUUCCGUAGGAAACCACGGGCUUUCAGGAAGAGAAAAGGGAUGGUGGACACCCAAAACCUAACCAGUGUUCACCACGAGUAGGUCUACUCUGGGUUGUCUGAAGAUUCUUGGGGCUGAGAAGAAAACCUUCAAGAGCUGAGGAUAGACAGCAGGCAGGGCAUAGGUCAGCACAUGCAAAACUCAGAGUCAGGCAGCUGAGAACACACAUUCCCAUGGGCUUCAUGCUGGCCCGGCCACCUACCAGCUGUGUGAUUUAUACUUAGAAACUUCAAGCACUGUGCUUCAGUUUCUUGGCUGUGGAAGAAGAAUGAUAAACGCAUGUUUCUCAUGAGGCUGUUACAAGGAUGAAGUGUGUCAAACCAUGAAAAAGUGCUUAAGAAUAAUAAAUAUUCAAUGUUUUUCUUUCUAAAAAUUGUAAAUUCUAUGGUUUUAAUGUGCCCACCCCCAGCAUCAUGUGUUGAUUAUUUAAUCUCCAGUGCAGCAGUCUUGAGAGGUAGCAACUAUAAGAGGUAUUAGGUCAUAAGAGAUCUUACCUAAAGGAUGGAUCAGUGCCAUUAUUGUGAGAGUGGAUUCCACAUGAACCUCAUUCUCUCUGUCUCUGACCCCACCCCCGUUUCUGCUUUUUGCCAUCUUAUGGCAUGGCACAAAAGCUCUCACCAAUGUGGGCCCCUUGAUUUUGGUCUUCCCACCCUCUAGAACUAUAAGAGACAAACUUCUAUACUUUAUAAAUUUCCCAGUCUUUGGUGAUUUGUUAGAGCCACACAAAACAGACUAACACAGUUGUAUUAGCAUUUUAAAAUUAUUAUUAUCUUUUAAACUACUGAGUAAUGAAGGUGAGGAAAAUAGGAUAGUAAUAUGGGGCUGAGAAGAAAGGCUUGUUUUUCUUUCUUUUUCACAGUUGGGAGAGGAAGAGAAAGGCCUAGUGGAGAGGACAGACAGAAAAACCUGGUAAACAAUGAAUCUCCACGUGAGUAGGGGAUCCCUGUUACACAGCCUAAGUUAAGCUCAUCAGUUCACAGAAGAGUUAAUGACUGGGUUAGGGUCACAGAUGUGGCCAGCAUGGUUGGCGUGGAGUCAAGGCCAUGAGAAUGUAAGACAGGAUAAGGCAUUUCCCAUCACACUAUUUAUUAUGAAAACCCCCUCCCAAAAGCUCUCUGAAAGGCCCCAGGAGAUGAGCACUCAGUGGAUUUCCUCCAGCACUGCUGAACAUCAGGGAAAAUGCUCUCCAACCCUAAGUUAUUAAUGUUAAAAUCUUCAUUUCCAGCCAUAAUGGGACUUUGUGAUAAAAGGGACAGACAAGCAGGUCAUUACAACCAUCAUUUAAGGAAGUAAAAUUAGCAUCUGUUUUGACUGAAGUUAAUAAGCUCUUCACCUUUUUCUCUGUGUGAGAGCCCAGGCAGCCUAGAGCAAGCCUUCUCUGACCUUUAGGGUGGGGUUGGCCCUUUCUCUGUGUCUUGCAGCUUCCUGGGUGGGAUUGGUACUUGUAGUGGAUUGACUAAUGGUCAACUUGUAAUGUACAGCUGGACUGAAUCAGCAUGGUCUGGGUGUGGAGGAUCCACCUGAAAAUUGUUACCUUUAGCCAUAAAAAGAGAACUGGGGAAGAAGAUCAUGGCCUGUUGAUUUUCUAGGAGAAGCUCGCUCCAGAUGGUUUUCCUGAUGCGAACUUGGCUGUUCUCAUUGGAGGAGGAGCUUGGGGACUUGCUGUCACUAGGAAUGCUUGCUGUUUUUGUCAGAGGAGCUCUGAUCUUCACCGUGAGCAUCACUUCCUGGCUUCAGUGUGGAUCCCUCAUCUUGGCGGCACAGAUCCUUCAUCUCGCCAGCGUAGAUUUUCUGGCUUCCACCACUGGCCUUUGGGCCUUCAUGGUGCAGAUCCUCAAUACGGACAAGCAGGAGACAUUGCCGUGUGCUCUAGGCCAUGGCUGGACUUGAGGAGGACACUGCCUUGGACUCGAAGCCUUUAUCUGGACUUGUGUGAGAAACUACUGGGGUCCAGGCCCUCAGCUGAAUGUUUUGGGCUUCUAGUGUGCAGUUAAUCUCUUGCACUCCUUUGCAUUUGACUCUUUGGGUAAUUAUCAUAAAGUAACCUUAUAAGUUAUUUGUCCUGUGUUUAAUGUAUUUCUUUGUCCAGUCCUGCUGACUACAACAGUACUGGUCAGCCGGUAUCUCAGGCCCCUGUAUCUCUUCGCUGUACCUCUGAGAACAGACUCUCAUUUAUUUGUGUGCUCCAGAGCCUGUCAGAAUGCCAGGCACGGUGCAUACCCAACCCAGGCCCCAGGAAUGAUUGUGCAUAGGCCUUACACACAUUGCCCUCGUCAGCUACUUGAAAAAACCUCCUUACUUCUGAGGUGAGCACGGCAAGGAGGAUUUUGGAGUGGACUUCUUCAGCUACUGUAUUGUCAGGGUGGCAGCAACCGUGUACUGAUACCAGUGAUGAUGACAUCGAUGAUGAAGAAUAGCUAGAGUUUGUCACAUGAUUAUGUGUGGCAGUGUUCUAAAAUGGCCCUUUCCAAUAAUUAUCUCAAAAUAAACCUAUGAGUAAGACUACUGACACAAACAUUUAACAGACAAGGAAACCAAGGCUCAAAAAAGUUGCACCCAGAGUAUCUGUUUUUGGUUCCAUUCACUCUUCAAUGUUAUUCUCAGCCUCUUUGACUGUAAACUGAGUUCCCGAGGCCAAAAUGAGGCAUGAAGUUUGUAGACUCCAAAUCUAAGAGACUUUUUGAUAUGUCUGAG
rnacentral:lncRNA from 1 species